UGAAAAUGUAAUUUUUGUAAAUGUAGUUGUUGAGUUAGUCACCACUCUCUGUGCAUGUGUCUCGAACCAAGGCUGUUGGGUUGAAGGAGAUGUUCGUAAGCCAGAGGAUGCGUGUCGUCAUGGCUAAUGGGAGAUAUGAUGAUUACUACAAGAAGAAAAGUAAACAGAUUCCGAGGUUUGGAGAAUGGGAGGAAGCAAAUGAGAUGCCAAUAACACAAUCCUUUGAGAAUCCAAGACAAGCUGUUUUGGGGCUGUAGGAACAUUCAACAUUUGCCGUGAAGCACUAAGUAUCUCAAGAAAGGAGGGGCCGGGAGAGACUCAUCAAGCGGCGGCGGUUUGAUUCUCAACAUUAGUACUACUUUGCACUACACUGCUUCUUGGUACCAAAUCCAUGUCUCUGCAGCCAAGGUAAAAUGAGUUUUAAGCAUCAAGUCUUAGGAGAUUAUGAACUUAAGUAGCAAUGGAACUUAAAAUGAGUUUUAAGCAUCAAGUCUGAGUUUGUUUCUGUUUAAUGUCUUGAGUUUGUUUCAGUUUGAUGUCGUAUUUUGUCUGACUUUAUGAGUUUUAAUGCAAGUUCAAGUUGAAGUUUGAUAUUGUGUUUGCAAUUUGUGUCAAACUUUAUGUUUUUAUGUCAUAUUUUUUAAAAUUUUGUGAAUCCAAUAA